rnacentral:rRNA from 1 species
AGUGAGCGCUGGCGGUAGGCCUAACACAUGCAAGUCGAACGGCAGCACAGUAAGAGCUUGCUCUUACGGGUGGCGAGUGGCGGACGGGUGAGGAAUACAUCGGAAUCUACUUUUUCGUGGGGGAUAACGUAGGGAAACUUACGCUAAUACCGCAUACGACCUACGGGUGAAAGCAGGGGAUCUUCGGACCUUGCGCGAUUGAAUGAGCCGAUGUCGGAUUAGCUAGUUGGCGGGGUAAAGGCCCACCAAGGCGACGAUCCGUAGCUGGUCUGAGAGGAUGAUCAGCCACACUGGAACUGAGACACGGUCCAGACUCCUACGGGAGGCAGCAGCGGGGAAUAUUGGACAAUGGGCGCAAGCCUGAUCCAGCCAUACCGCGUGGGUGAAGAAGGCCUUCGGGUUGUAAAGCCCUUUUGUUGGGAAAGAAAAGCAGCAGGUUAAUACCCCGCUGUUCUGACGGUACCCAAAGAAUAAGCACCGGCUAACUUCGUG